GCUAAGUUAGUUUAUUAAAAAUGCUAGGAUGUGGCUCUAGAGAUAAAGAAGAAUACUUUACUUGGUU
rnacentral:tRNA from 1 species